ACGUCGGUGCCUCCUAACCCUUCCUACCAUAUGACCGUGGCCAGGAUUCGAACUCCGUGCCCUUCAGAAUCCCUCGGCCCCAAAGAGCACGAGGCCUCACUGUACCAGGGAUAAAGGUCUGCAUUAUAGAGGCUCAUGUUGCCUCUGAACUGUCGCCAAUGCAGUCGUGGAAGAUAGGGUUGGUGGGAAGCAUGUGGCCAUCUUUCAGUCACUCUGCAACAGCUUUGAAAAUUCACCAGCUUCCGGCAGGACUCGGACUGACGGCAGCGAGAUCACCAAUUCAGUUCUAGUGAUGUCUUGAUACACAAUCUCUCUCUCUCUCUCUCUCUCUCUCUCUCUCUCUCUCUCUCUCUCUCUCUCUCUCUCUCUCUCUCUCUCUCUCUCUCUCUCUCUCUCUCUCUCUCUCUCUCUCUCUCUCUCUCUCUCUCUCUCUCUCUCUCUCUCUCUCUCUCUCUCUCUCUCUCAAUGGCUCAAAUGAUAGGCAAAUAAAAUAUAUAACAGA